AUCGGUAGACGCUACGGACUUAAUUGGAUUGAGCCUUGGUAUGGAAACUUACUAAGUGAUAACUUUCAAAUUCAGAGAAACCCUGGAAUUAAUAAAAAUGGGCAAUCCUGAGCCAAAUCACGUUUUCCGAAAACAAACAAAGGUUCAGAAAGCGAAAAUCAAAAAGGAUAGGUGCAGAGACUCGAUGGAAGCUGUUCUAACGAAUGGAGUUGAUUGUCUUACGUUGGUAGAGGAAUCCUUCUAUCGAAACUUCAUAAAAUAUCGAAACUUCAUAAAAGAUGAAGGAUAAACCUGUAUACAUAAUAUAGAAGAAUUGUUGUGAAUCGAUUCCAUAUUGAAGAAAGAAUCGAAUAUUCAUUGAUCAAACAAUUCACUCCAUAAUCUGAUAGAUCUUUUGAAGAACUGAUUAAUCGGACGAGAAUAAAGAUAGAGUCCCGUUCUACAUGUCAAUACCGGCAACAAUGAAAUUUAUAGUAAGAGGAAAAUCCGUCGAUUUAAAAAAUCGUGAGGGUUCAAGUCCCUCUAUCCCCA
rnacentral:ncRNA from 1 species